AUACAGAGGGUGCGAGCGUUAAUCGGAAUUACUGGGCGUAAAGCGCGCGUAGGCGGUUUGGUCAGUCGGAUGUGAAAGCCCCGGGCUUAACCUGGGAAUUGCAUUCGAUACUGCCAAGCUAGAAUGUAGUAGAGGGAAGUGGAAUUCAGGGUGUAGCGGUGAAAUGCGUAGAGAUCCUGAGGAACAUCAGUGGCGAAGGCGACUUCCUGGACUAACAUUGACGCUGAGGUGCGAAAGCGUGGGGAGCAAACAGGAUUAGAAACCCCAGUAGUCC
rnacentral:rRNA from 1 species